rnacentral:rRNA from 1 species
UACGUAGGGGGCAAGCGUUGUCCGGAAUCAUUGGGCGUAAAGCGCGUGUAGGCGGCUUCGUCAGUCCGUUGUGAAAGUCCAGGGCUCAACCCUGGAAUGCCGAUGGAUACUGCGGAGCUCGAGUCCGGAAGAGGCGAGUGGAAUUCCUGGUGUAGCGGUGAAAUGCGCAGAUAUCAGGAGGAACCCCAAUGGCGAAGGCAGCUCGCUGGGACGGUACUGACGCUGAGACGCGAAAGCGUGGGGAGCAAACAGG